UACGUAGGGGGCUAGCGUUGUCCGGAAUCAUUGGGCGUAAAGCGCGUGUAGGCGGUCCGGUAAGUCCGCUGUGAAAGUCGGGGGCUCAACCCUCGAAUGCCGGUGGAUACUGUCGGGCUAGAGUGCGGAAGAGGCGAGUGGAAUUCCUGGUGUAGCGGUGAAAUGCGCAGAUAUCAGGAGGAACACCGGUGGCGAAGGCGGGUCCCUGGACAGUUCCUGACGCUGAGGCACGAAGGCCAGGGGAGCAAACGGG
rnacentral:rRNA from 1 species